AGUUGAGUCCCGACUCCAAGUGGCGAUUCCGCCUCAGAGCCGUCGCCUUACGUUCCCUUAAACUUAAUUUUUCCAUCAGCAGUGUGGAUCUGCUUAUGAUAGUUCCUACCUCAUAAGGCUGUUGUGAGCCUUAAAAAUUAAAGCAUUUGGCACAUAACGCUUCACAAAUGCUAACUUGUAUUUACAUUUUCACGUAAAAAGAUUGUGAUGCGCAAGUUCUUUGAAGUCUUGGUUCCAUGCAAAAAGCUGUUCACAGAGGUUGAGAAAGGUUAGGAAUUGGUUUAAGUUCGCGGAGAGAUAGGGAGUUGCUGCUGAGACGCAAGCAAUUUCAUAGUACCGAUUCCCUAAUUGCACCUCGUCCCCAGUAUUCAUCGGCUCUUCCAGGAGGUGGCAGUCUUGUCCAAGGUAUAGCAAGAAAAACUCAGUGCAAUAAAGUACAUGCAUCAAGUCCUGUGGUUUAUUUAUUUUAAAUACAGUUAACUAGGUUGGGACACAGCUUAGCAUGAGUGGAUUCAAGUUAGUAAUCACAUCGUGCAGCGUGACAGGUGCUCUGAAUACUGACCAGGGAUGAGGUUCUUAUUGGCAGCUGGCUGGCAGGUGAUCUAGCUUCAAAAUCCCAUGUUAGAGCCUGAUUUCUAGGACCGCUUUCAAAAUCGUCUUAGGUAGAAUUCCCUGGACUCUGAGUUGGGGGGGAGACUGGUUUGCAGGAGGGUAAUUGGAGUGUGCUCUUAAGAACAACACCUAUAAUGGAGUGAGGGAGGCCGGGUUGGGCGGAGGGAGAAAGAAGUUGAACUGUGAACAAUUUGUAAUAGAGGCCUCAGGCAAUCCAGUAAGGGCUCUGGAGCCGGGAUUUCCUUUCAGAGUCAUCCUGAAUUGAGGCCAGGGGGCAGACCUUUAGACCCUCUUACUGACUGCUCAUUAAAUGUGGGAUGUUUCUGGGGAGGAAGCAAAACGCUGGGUUAAGGCUUUUGGAGAGUGAGAUGUGCAGGAAGGGACUCAGCUG
rnacentral:lncRNA from 10 species